GACGAACGCUGGCGGCGUGCCUAAUACAUGCAAGUAGAACGCUGAAGGAGGAGCUUGCUCUUCUGGAUGAGUUGCGAACGGGUGAGUAACGCGUAGGUAACCUGCCUGGUAGCGGGGGAUAACUAUUGGAAACGAUAGCUAAUACCGCAUAAGAGUAGAUGUUGCAUGACAUUUACUUAAAAGGUGCAAUUGCAUCACUACCAGAUGGACCUGCGUUGUAUUAGCUAGUUGGUGGGGUAACGGCUUACCAAGGCGACGAUACAUAGCCGACCUGAGAGGGUGAUCGGCCACACUGGGACUGAGACACGGCCCAGACUCCUACGGGAGGCAGCAGUAGGGAAUCUUCGGCAAUGGACGGAAGUCUGACCGAGCAACGCCGCGUGAGUGAAGAAGGGUUUCGGAUCGUAAAGCUCUGUUGUAAGAGAAGAACGAGUGUGAGAGUGGAAAGUCCACACUGUGACGGUAUCUUACCAGAAAGGGACGGCUAACUACGUG
rnacentral:rRNA from 1 species